AUGUGCAGAACCUUUGCUCUGGGCUUAUUUCCGCUCUCAUUUCAUUCAUUGGCUUAUUCCAAAUUUAGGAUCCAGCCCCGCGCAUCCCAACCCUCCCCAAAUUCCUGCUCGGGGAUGGGGGCACCAGGACCCUUCUGUCCCCUCUCCCUCGGUGUCUGUGUCACCGCUGCCCCCUCCCCGAGGCUCAGCCCGACCCCCGGAGCAUCCUCGGCCACCCCUAUGAGAGCGAGGAUUUGGGGGUCCCUCCGAGAGCAUCCCCUGGAGCAAAGCACAAAGCGCCGGGGCUUGGUGAGACCCAGGCCGCUCCCAUCCCCUGCCCCAGGCACUCUGCACCCCAAAAUCUGGAUUUUCCAGCCGGGAGAAGGUGGAAGAAGUGAAUCCCUCACCCAAAGUGGCUUUGGGUCACUUGCGGGCCGAGAGAACAGCGAGGAUGGACGCGCUCGGCCGUGCCCAAACUUUGGGCGCUCGGCACGGCCCGGCCCCGGUACCGGGAGCCGCUCCCCAAAGGGCGCGGUGCCCUCAGCCCGCCCCGGUAACAAAAACCCGAGAAUUCGGAAUAAAACACGCGCGGAGGGCCCGAGCCGGGCUCCGAGCGCUCCAACCCCGGCCCCAGGGAGUGUUUUAAAGCUACCGACGCCCAACGAGAGGAGCCGUUUUCCCUGCAGAAAUCAGAAAUUCCCAUUACAGCUCCGAGACCCUCUGGCAUCACUUCCCACUCUCCAGCGAGGACGGCGGUUUCGCCCACCAGAUUAUGCUUAAAAAAAAAAAAAGAAAAAAAGAAACGUGGAUUUUUAUUUUUCCCAAAAAAAAAGUGGAUUAUUUUUGUUUUUUCCAAAAUAAAAGUGGAUUAUUAUUUUUUCCCCUCCUUAUC
rnacentral:lncRNA from 1 species